ensembl:lincRNA
UUCAAGUUUAAAUGGUUCUUUUAUAUACAUGAGUCAAGGCUAUUACCACUUUCAGGAACUAUGAAACAUGGCAUUGUACAUUUACUGAGAAGGGAAUAAAAAUUGCUGUUGUUUUCACUUCAAUGAAUUUUUUCUCAUUCAUCAGAAAUCAGAAACCAUUAACAUUUAUUUCACUUACUUGAAAAAAUUAGACACAUCACAUAUCUAUUUAUAGUUAUUUGAUAAUGAACAUAUACACACAUUAGGUGACAUCAGUUCAAUUCAGUCCAGUCGCUCAGUGUGUCCGACUCUUUCCAACCCCAUGAAUUGCAGCAUGCCAGGCCUCCCUGUCCAUCACCAACUCCCGGAGUUCACUCAAACUCAUGUCCAUCGAGUCAGUGAUGACAUCCGGCCAUCUAAUCCUCCGUCAUCCCCUUCUCGUCCUGCCCCCAGUCCCUCCCUGCAUCAGAGUCUUUUCCAAUGAGUCAACUCUUCGCAUGAGGUGGCCAAAGUAUUGGAGUUUUAGCUUCAGCAUCAGUACUUCCAAUGAAAACCCAGGGCUGAUCUCCUUCAGAAUGGACUGGUUGUUCUCCAACACCACAGUUCAAAAGCAUCAAUUCUUCAGCACUCAGCUUUCUUCACAGUCCAACUCUCACAUCCAUACAUGACCACUGGAAAAACCAUAGCCUUGACUAGAUGGACCUUUGUUGAUAAAGUAAUGUCUCUGUUUUUUAAUGUGCUGUCUAGGAUUGUCGUAACUUUCCUUCCAAGGAGUAAGUGUCUUUUAAUUUUAUGGCUACAAUCACCAUCUGCAGUGAUUUUGGAGCCCCCCAAAAAUAAAGUCAGCUACUGUUUCCACUGUUUCCCCAUGUAUUUGCCAUGAAGUGAUGGGACUGGAUGCCAUGAUCUUAGUUUUCUGAAUGUUGAGCUUUAAGCCAACUUUUAACUCUCCUCUUUCAUUUUCAUCAAGACGCUCUUUAGUUCUUUUUCCCUUUCUCCCGUAAGGGUGGUGCCAUCUGCAUAUCUGAAGUUAUUGAUAUUUCUCCCGGCCCUCUUGAUUUCAGCUUGUGCUUCAUCCAGCCCAGCAUUUCUCAUGAUGUACCCUACAUCUAAGUUAAAUGACGUACUUUGACAUACUCCUUUUCCUAUUUGGACCAGUCUGCUGUUCCAUGUCCACUUCUGUUUCUUCCUGACCUGCAUAUAGAUUUCUCAAGAGGGAGGUCAGGUGGUCUGGUAUUCCUAUCUCUUUCAGAAUUUUCCACAGUUCAAUGUGAUCCACAGUCAAAGGCUUUGGCAUAGACAAUAAAGCAUAGACAAUAAAGCAGAAAUAGAUAUUUUUCUGGAACUCUCUUGCUUUUUUGAUGAUCCAGUAGAUGGCAAUUUGAUCUCUGGUUCCUCUUGCUUUUCUAAAACCAUCUUCAGCAUCUGGAAGUUCAUGGUUUACAUAUUGCUGAAGCCUGGCUUGGAGAAUUUUGAGCAUUACUUUUGUAGUGUGUGAGAUAAGGGCAACUGUGCGGUAGUUUGAGCAUUCUUUGGCAUUGCCUUUCUUUCAGAUUGGAAUGAAAACUGACCUUUUCCAGUCCUGUGGCCACUGCUGAGUUUUCCAAGUUUGCUGGCACAUUGAGUGCACCAUUUUAACAGCAUCAUCCUUUAGGAUUUGAAAUAGCUCAACUGGAAUUCCAUCACCUCCACUAGCUUUGUUCAUACUGAUGCUUCCUAAGGCUCACUUGACUUCACAUUCCAGGAUGUCUGGCUCUACGUGAGUGAUUACACUAUCCUGAUUAUCUAGGCCAUGAAGAUGUUUUCUAUACAGUUCUUCCAUGUAUUCUUGCCACCUCUUCUUAAUAUCUUCUUUUUUUUGUUAGGUCCCUAACAUUUCUGUCCUUUAUUGAGCCUGUAUUGAAUGAAAUAUACCCAUGGUAUCUCCAAUUUUCUUGGAGAGAUCUCUAGUCUUUCCCACUCUGUUGUUUUCUUCUAUUUCUUUGCACUGAUCACUGAGGAAGGCUUUCUUACCUCCCCUUGCUAUUCUUUGGAACUCUGCAUUCAAAUGGUUAUAUCUUUCAUUUUCUCCUUUGCUUUUUGCUUCUCUUCUUUUUACAGCUAUUUGUAAGGCCUCCCCAGACAGCCAUUUUGCUUUUUAGGGAUGGUCUUGAUCUCUGUCUCCUUUACAAUGUCACAAACCUCUGUCCAUAGUUCAUCAGGUACUCUAUCAGANNNNNNNNNNNNNNNNNNNNNNNNNNNNNNNNNNNNNNNNNNNNNNNNNNNNNNNNNNNNNNNNNNNNNNNNNNNNNNNNNNNNNNNNNNNNNNNNNNNNCCCUUAAAUCUAUUUCUCACUUCCACUGUAUAAUCAUAAGGGAUUUGAUUUAGGUCAUACCUGAAUGGUCUAGUGGUUUUCCCUACUUUCUUCAAUUUAAGUCUGAAUUUGGCAAUAAGGAGUUCAUGAUCUGAGCCACAAUCAGCUCCUUCUUGAUUUUGCUGACUGUAUAGACCUUCUCCAUCUUUGUCUGCAAAAAACAUAAUCAGUCUGAUAUUAGUAUUGACAAUCUGGUGAUGCUCAUGUGUGAAGUCUUCUCUUGUGUUGUUGGAAGUGGGUGUUUGCUAUGACUGGUGUGUUCUCUUGGCAAAACUCUGUUAUUCUUUGCCCUACUUCAUUUCGUACACCAAAUCUGUUACUCUAGAUGUUGCUUAACUUCCUACUUUUUUAUUCCAGUUCCCUCUAAUGAAAAGGACAUCUUUUUUGGGUGUUAGUUCUAGAAGGUCUUCUAGGUCUUCAUAGAAUGUUCAACUUCAGCUUCUUAAGCAUUCCUUUUUGGGGCAUAGACUUGGAUUCCUGUGAUAUUGAAUGGUUUGCCUUGGAAAUGAACAGAGAUCAUUCUGUCAUUUUUGAGAUUGCCUCCAAGUACUGCAUUUCAGACUCUUGUUGGCUAUGAUGGCUACUCCGUUUCUUCUAAGGGAUUCCUGCCCACAAUGGUAGAUAUAAUGGUCACCUGAGUUAAAUUCACCCAUUCCAGUCCAUUUUAGUUUGCUAAUUCCUAGAAUGUCGAUGUUCACUCUUGCCAUCUCCUGUUUGACCACCUCCAAUUUGCCUUGAUUCAUGGACCUAGCAUUCCAGGUUCCUAUGCGAUACUGCUCUUUACAACAUCUGACUUUACUUCCACCACCAGUCACAUCCACAACUAGGUGUUGUUUUGCUUUGGCUCCGUCCCUUCUUUCUUUCUGGAGUUAUUUCUCCACUGAUCUCCAGUAGCAUAUUGGGCACCUACUGACCUGAUGAAGUGAUGGGACCAGAUGCCAUGAUCUUCGUUUUCUGAAUGUUGAGCUUUAAGCCAACUUUUUCACUCUCCUCUUUCACUUUCAUCAAGAGGCUUUUUAGUUCCUCUUCACUUUCUGCCAUAAGGGUGGUGUCAUCUGCAUAUCUGAGGUUAUUGAUAUUUCUCCCAGCAAUCUUGAUUCCAGCUUGUGUUUCUUCCAGUCCAGUGUUUCUCAUGAUGUACUCUGCAUAGAAGUUAAAUAAGCAGGGUGACAAUAUACAGCCUUGACGUACUCCUUUUCCUAUUUGGAACCAGUCUGUUGUUCCAUGUCCAGUUCUAACUGUUGCUUCCUGACCUGCAUACAGAUUUCUCAAGAGGCAGGUUAGGUGGUCUGGUAUUCCCAUCUCUUUCAGAAUUUUCCACAGUUUAUUGUGAUCCACACAGUCAAAGGCUUUGGCAUAGUCAAUAAAGCAGAAAUAGAUGUUUUUCUGGAACUCUCUUGCUUUUUCCAUGAUCCAGCGGAUGUUGGCAAUUUGAUCUCUGGUUCCUCUGCCUUUUCUAAAACCAGCUUGAACAUCAGGGAGUUCAUGGUUCACGUAUUGCUGAAGCCUGGCUUGGAGAAUUUUGAGCAUUACUUUACUAGCAUGUGAGAUGAGUGCAAUUGUGUGGUAGUUUGAGCAUUCUUUGGCAUUGCCUUUCUUUGGGUUUGGAAUGAAAACUGACUUUUUCCAGUCCUGUGGCCACUGCUGAGUUUUCCAAGUUUGCUGGCAUAUUGAGUGCAGCACUUUCACAGCAUCAUCUUUCAGGAUUUGAAAUAGCUCCACUGGAAUUCCAUCACCUCCACUAGCUUUGUUCAUAGUGAUGCUUUCUAAGGCCCACUUGACUUCACAUUCCAGGAUGUCUGGCUCUAGGUGAGUGAUCACACCAUCUUGAUUAUCUGGAUCAUGAAGAUCUUUUUUGUGCAGUUCUUCUGUGUAUUCAUGCCACCUCUUCUUAAUAUCUUCUGCUUCUUUUAGGUCCACACCAUUUCUGUCCUUUAUUGAGCCCAUCUUUGCAUGAAAUGUUCCCUUGGUAUCUCUAAUUUUCUUGAAGAGAUCUCUAGUCUUUCCCAUUCUGUUGUUUUCCUCUAUUUCUUUGCAUUGAUCACUGAAGAAGACUUUCUUAUCUCUCCUUGCUAUUCUUUGGAACUCUGCAUUCAUAUGCUUAUAUCUUUCCUUUUCUCCUUGGCUUUUCACCUCUCUUCUUUUCACAGCUAUUUGUAAGGCCUCCCCAGACAGCCAUUUUGUUUUUUAACAUUUAUUUUCCAUGGGGAUGGUCUUGAUCCCUGUCUCUUGUACAAUGUCAUGAACCUCAUUCCAUAGUUCAUCAGGCACUCUAUCAAAUCUAGGUCCUUAAUUCUAUUUCUCACUUCCAUUGUACAAUCAUAAGGGAUUUGAUUUAUAAAUAUCAUGAUGGAGAAGAAGAAAUGAUGUAAUCUGUUACAUAUAAAUUUGCAUGUUAAGUGUUUGGCUGGAAAGGGGUAACCUCUGCAGCUCCUCUCUGUGGAAAUUCUUUUUUAGCAUCUUAAAACACAGUGUUUCAUCCAACUUGGAGAGGAAAGACUUGCAUUUGAUUCCUUAAAGUCUCAUAGUAACAUGUUAAAUAUGUCAAGAUAUUAUUUUUCUAGAGCUAAAUUCUUUUUAUAAUAAAUUACUUUUAUUAAUGAAAACAUAACUUCACAGGAAUUACUUAAAUGCAUUUUUAAAUCUGUUUUUAUGAUGGAUUAUAGAAGACAGGAUAAAUGAGCUGCCUGUGAUUUUGAUUUAACUUUCAAACACAUGUUAAUUCUAAGCUUUCUAAUGUUUACACAUGGUCAGCCCUGUGUUACAAUCAGUCCUAUUUAUAUUAACUAAAUGAAUGAAAAUAAUGAAUUUAAAUAAUGAAAUAUGUGAAAAAUUCACUCCACGAAUAACAAUUUAUAAUGAUGUGUACAGAAUAGCUCUUUAAUAUAAGGAUUUAGUUGUAGUCAUCUUGUACACUAAUGCCAAAUCUCAAUACUUGUAAAAAGAAAGAUCUAAAUAUUUACCCAACCCCAUAAUAUAGCCCUCAUUUAAUUUU